ensembl:lncRNA
AUGAUUUUGUAAACAUAUGUUAAGUGCCUACUAUGUGCUAGGUACCAUGUUAGGUGUUUUAGUGACUCAGCAAAUCCCAAGAUGCAUCAGGCCUGGACCUUAACCAGACGAUUCGCCCUGGUGGGAUGGGGGGGACCUCCUGUCCUUGGCCUCUUCCUUCUGUCUACCAUGCUUCUUAUCUGCUUACGUUUACACAUUACUCUGAAAUGCCUUUCACAUUCGUGUUCUGCUUCCCCAGCUGCCUUCCCUUCCAGCUCCAGGAUUUUGAGAGACCGGAUGGGCACAGACCUAGGCAAUUGAUGCUCUUGGAAGACAAGACACCCUCCCCCGUACCUACUUCCCACCCAGGACCACCCAGAUAGCACUGGUCAGCCUGCCACAGGGCUUGCCUUUGCACCAUUGCGUUGCCAUCCCUUUGCCCCUGGAAACCUUUGGGGGAAUUGCCUUCUGAAGCUGUGGGGGAUGCCUAGCGCCUCCUGUGGCUCCACACGGGAGUGCUUCUCACCAGGUACAGGCAACGCGAUGUUCUCCCUUCACUGCGCCCCAGGGGCUAGGUCCUACCUGCACCUCCUCAUCCAGAAGGGCUGCCCCGGGUGUCCCACCCCAUAAUUCUCCCCCUGUGGUAGCAGAUGCGUUCCCACCCCUGUGUCUCCCCUUUGGCCUGCACCAUUCGCAUGCACACCACGAUUCCACCGCAAACCCCGUGACUCCGCCUGAGGCUGUUCUCUGGCGGCAGGAACCUGCCUUGCUGCCCCAAUGCAGGGCAGCCUGGAGGUGCCUGGGAGUCCCCACCUCCAGGAGCAGCCCUCAGCCGGUGCCCCAGCUUCUGUGUCCUGGAGGGACCAUGCUCUGCACAGUCUCCCGAGGUCCCCAACAGGACUGAGCUCCAGUUGCCCAUAGCAGUAACCUGCCACUCAUGGCAGCACAACCUCUGUUGGCUUCCUCCUCCUCCCUGUCGCUCCCAAGCCACUGUCUGAGGCUCCCAGGAUCGCCUCCCAGUGAACAGGAGUCUUCAGCCUCCGCGUCUGUGGAAGCCAGCCUGAGUCACUGGUCCCAGGAACUCACCACACACGGAUUUCUGCAAGGGCCCUCGUGCACACCACACGUGCUGUGCUUGGAUCGCACCGUGGGUCAGGAUUGCCAGUGCUCAGGGACUAGCCAUUCUUCAGGGCUUGUGUCUGACAAGGACUCCUCCUGGAAGCCCUGUGCACUCCCAAGCGGAUUCCACCGCCUCCGCCUCUGUCCUCGGGUCACACAACGUGUGUCCCCAGAGUAGGGGCUAUCUGUUCUGUUCUGCUCUGCUCUGGGGUCACUUAUAUGUCACUCAGCCUCCUCACCACCCCAACCCCCAGGCCUGGGAGCUGUCUGCACUUAAGACCAGAGACCACCCCCUCAGAAGCCUGGAGCGGCCAGUCAGAUAACACCACUGAGUCCAGGGGCCAGGAGUCCAGCACAGGUAAGAGUGGGGCCUGGGAUGAACUCGAGAGCAAGUCCCACCAGAAUUUCAUUUGAAGGGAAAGAACAAACUGCCUGCUAAACGCGGAACAUCUGUGGGCCGGACGCUGAAUUGAAGGAAGAUCCCUUUCACCUGGGCGGGGGCGGAGGUCUCGCCUUUCUCAUCACAGCCCCAUGGCCCAGGAUGCAGCACUGCCUAGAGAGGGGGUGUUGUAUAAGCUCCUUCAUAACACAGAGGGAGUGGCGGGGCAUGGGUGGGGAGGGAGCCGUGCCGACAGUACCACUGUUCAGGACAGUCCCUCCCGGGUCUGGCUGCCCAGAGAGGGCAUGUUCUCACCUGCUCUCAGGCAACUCCGUCUCCGGGGUCUUCCUCGACCAGCACAGGGAGCGAAGAGCUCCAGCCACCUGGGUUUUUCUCUUCCCUUCGCGAUGGAGGCGCUGGUGACUGGGGCAUUUCUGGGUCCACACCCGACCUGGCUCACGACCUGUAUCUAGGCUGACCAGACUCCCGUGGGCCCUGUACCUGGGCCUGCGGGAGCACGAGAAGGCUCUCCCUGGGACACAGGGAAGUCUGUUCAGCCUCUCUCAUCCACUUUCAGAAUUUCUCGUGUCUGAUGCUACUGGCACAAUUAUCGACUGAAUAUUUUUCCUUAAGUAGGCUUCGUGUUCUCUCCCUCUCCCCAUGUGCUGGAGCCUAACUGAGACUUUCUCCUUGAUGCAAAUGCAAGGACUGAAAGAGCUUUGAAAAGGGAGCGGCUUCUUCCUCUCCCUCUGAUGGUCCAUGUUUUUUAAAGUCCUUUUAUUGCGUAAAUCAUCCCCAUUCAGACCCCAGUUUAGUUCAGGCACCCACAGGGAUUUUCACCACGGCCCCGCCCCCUCAGGGAACCUGCCUGACAUAGGAGGGGUCAGGACCAGGGUGGAGGUCGUAGGAAGCUGGGCUCGAUUUGGGAGAUGGGCUCGGGGGUCCCAACUGAAGCAGGGUUUUCCUCCUUUCCUCACCUUCUGGGAUCUAGUCUGGAGUUGUGGGGGGCCCCGACUUUCAUAGAAGUGCAGCCACAGCGAGCUCAGUGGAGUGCAGGGACAGCACCACACUCCUCAGGGCUGUGGGAGCUGAGGAUGGAGCCCUGCGGCCCUGAGGCCAUGAGUGGACAGAGAGAGGUGGGCAGGGGCCACCACACCAGAGAAGAGUGUCUCUACCUCGCCAGAGUUGCUGGCAGGUGCCAAGCUCCAGCCCAGGUACACGGGACCCCUGACCCUGCUCUGUUGGCAGGCAGGGGAGGGGAGGGUUCGGCACCCUGGGGUGCUUUGCCGGCAAUCUGGAGAGAGAAUGAGUGCACAUGUGUAGGCAGCUCUCUCAUCUCUGGGGGCUCCAGUGACGCCCAUCCUGGGGCUGUCUUGGUCGCUUUGCUCAGUCCAGUAUCAGGGUCUUUUUUCCCCGUUGUAGGGUCUGCAGCCUGCGGGAUGUGGACUCACAGAUGGGCAAUGUGUCCCUAGGUCUGGAUUGACCAGAAAAGCUGCUCCCUGGCCUCGGUGUGGGGAGGAGACACCACUCGUGCUCCUGGAGCCUCCUUCCCAGAGGAGGGCACCAACCCGGGGGCACUGACAGCUCUGAGGGAGCACCACCCCACGCCAAACUCAAUGGAGGGACCAGGCUGCUAUCUGGGGCCACCGUAGAGGGAAUUGCCUGCCUGCCACCUACCUAAGGGAUGGGCUCCCUUCCUCUGCUGGGACCUCCAUGGGCCUAUCGUGCCCACAAUCCAUGAGCCGUGGCCCCCAGGCAUUGCCAGGAAGCAGUCUACGUGAAAGGACGACGUGUCUAAUUUUGCAGCUACGUGGAGGAUUUGUCACACAGAACCAUCCGUUCAAUCUAGACCAUCACUAAAAGCACUCCGGAUAAUAAAUCUUCAUUUUGUAUUAACUGGAGAGGCAGCCGCCUUCUCAGAAUGGCUGUUCCCGCGUAAUCAUGAUAAAUGGAGAAUCCUGGACAGGAGAAGAGUUGCCUCGAGCUAACAUCUGUUGCCAGUCUUCCUCCUUUUUUCUUCUCCACCCCCAAAGCCCCAGUACACAGUUGUGUAGACUUGAAGCCUGAGGACUCGCACCGCAUCUAAGAUAACUGAUGAGAGAGAGGCUGAUUGGCUCACACCCUCCCUCCGCCUCGGCAGUCCCCUCCUCCUCUUCGUCCCUAGAGGCAAAUACAGCCAAAUGUGAAUGCGUGAACGGCUGCUGACUGCCUGGGGUCUCCCUACUGGGAGUGACACAGGAAUCGGGGGCUCAGCAGAACACAGAUGGAAGCGAAAUGAGGGCAACUGAAGACGUUAUGCUAGGGACCAUCCACAAAGGUGUAGGCUGGGUGUAGAGCAGCCACAAGGCAUAGAAGAGGAGCCUGCAUCUGGGAAGGUCACCACAUCAGGAGGAUGGUGUGGACAGGGCUCCUGACAGGAACUGAGACCCAUCCAGGAACAGAGCCAGGCCACGGUGACAAGCAGGGAGAGAGACAAAGGACAGUGCCCAGCCUUUCCCUCCUCCCUCCAGGCUCCUGCAAGGACUUCCCCUUGGAUGGAACCCAGCUAGGAGGCAGGGGCAGGGAGUCUGUUGGUAUUGUCCGUGCAGGAUGACCUCAGCAGGCACAUGGCAAGAAGAAAAGGGUGGACAGUGAGCCUGAGGGGCAGACAGAAGACCUCCAGCACAGGAGUGCGCAGCAAGUGUGUUUGGAAUAAAUGACUCUUUCUGCACGGGUCAUUGGACCAUGCAAAUAUUUAUGCUUAGAGUGAGGUGACAAUGUUGAUGAUGAUGGUGACAAUGAGAACCAUGAUGGUGCUGGCGAUGUGGAUGAUCAUGAUGACAGCAGUGGUAGUGAGGCUGCUGCUGCUGCUGCUGGUGAUGAUGAUGACAAAUAGCUAACGUUUAUUGAAUACUUGACGCGUACUUCCACAUGCUAGGGGCUGAGCUAAACACUUUACAUACUUCACCUCAAUUACUUCUCAUGACCCUAUGAGAUGGGCGUUAUUAUUAUUAUUCCCUUGUUAGAGAUAGGGAGAUGGAGGCUCAGAAAGAGCAAGUGACUCGUGAGUGGCCACACAUCUUGGAUGGGCAGGAGCUGGUGUCCCAGCUUAGGCGUCUGACUCCAGAGCCAAGGUGAUCGCCGUGCACAACACUGCCUCACUUUCAGAUUGCUCGUAUGUGCGCACCAUCUCCAUUACCCUGUUCUGGAAUCUUCAGUGCAUUUCCAUUUCCCAAGAUCUCAAAUCCUGAGUCUGGAUUUCCAGGCCCCCCCAUUUUCUGGUCCCUUUCCAGUCUUACCUUCUGAUAUUUCUACCCACAAAGCACAC